GCCGCAGUGUUGAAAUUGGUAGACAAGCACGGCUUAGGACCGUGUGUCGAAAGACAUGGAGGUUCGAGUCCUCUCUGCGGCAC
rnacentral:tRNA from 1 species